rnacentral:rRNA from 1 species
GAUCUUCGGAUCUAGUGGCGCACGGGUGAGUAACGCGUGGGAACCUACCUUUUAGUACGGGACAACGUUUGGAAACGAACGCUAAUACCGUAUACGCCCUCCGGGGGAAAGGCUUGCCGCUAAAAGAGGGGCCCGCGUCUGAUUAGCUUGUUGGUAAGGUAAUGGCUUACCAAGGCUUCGAUCAGUAGCUGAUCUGAGAGGAUGAUCAGCCACACUGGGACUGAGACACGGCCCAGACUCCUACGGGAGGCAGCAGUGGGGAAUAUUGGACAAUGGAGGCAACUCUGAUCCAGCAAUGCCGCGUGUGUGAUGAAGGCCUUAGGGUUGUAAAGCACUUUCAACGGUGAAGAUGAUGACGGUAGCCGUAGAAGAAGCCCCGGCUAACUUCGCGCCAGCAGCCGCGGUAAUACGAAGGGGGCGAGCGUUAUUCGGAAUUAUUGGGCGUAAAGGGCUCGCAGGCUGCUUGAACAGUUAGACGUGAAAUCCCCGGGCUCAACCUGGGAACUGCGUUUAAUACUAGCAAGCUAGAGUAAUAGAGAGGAAAGUGGAACUCCCAGUGUAGAGGUGAAAUUCGUAGAUAUUGGG